CCUCAUGGCUUGUGGUGAGCAGAUUGUUCCGGAGAGCAUGGGACGUGGGUUCCGGAGUCCUCCUGGAGCCCAGGACCCCACUGUGGGAAGCCAGAAGUAAUUCGUCUACAUUACAAACGGACCCCGCUGUUUCUGUUACAUCACACUACAUUGUGGGGACAUGAGCGACAGUGACAGAGACAGACGGAUGGAUGGACAGUUGGGACCAGUGGAUCGGUGCCAGCCCAGGGGAAGGGGAAGUUGGUGAGCCUUUGGCAGGGCAGCUCCUAGGGAAGUCGCAGCUAGAGGACCUCGUGGGUGCAAACGCAGCUUCCUGGUAAGCAAGAUGGGGCUGAGGGUGGCCUAUGGGG